UGAAUAAAGGGAAAAAUGCCAUUGUUGAACAUGAGGUGUGACAUUUUUACUAAUUUGCUGGAGAACCAGUUCAGAUUUAAGUAUAACUUUAGUAUGGCUGAAGCCUUUAGUGAGAGGUUUAAUGUUUUUCUAUUUAAUAAUUUCUGUUUCCCAAAUUCAUAUAUUAUAUAAAUAGGCCCCUGUCAAAGAUAGUAAAUGUCAAACUUCUAGGGUCCUGUCCUGAAGGAUGGAGAAGGUUGGCUGCAGAUGUUACUACCUCUCUACUGAGAAGAAAACCUGGAAUGAGAGCAGACAGGACUGUCUGGAGAGAGGAGCAGACCUGGUGAUCAUUAACAGUGAAGAGGACAGACAUUCAUCAAUGGGUUUAAAUCAGUCAGUUAUGUCUGGAUUGGUUUGACUGAUUCUGUUACUGAGGGGACCUGGAAAUGGGUUGAUGGCACCCCACUGACCACCCCAAGGUAUUGGUGGAGUGGAGAGCCUGGUGGUGGUACGUACCAGAACUGUGGGGAAAUCUAUUACAUAUCAUCAGGCCAAGGAGUAUGGAGGGAUUUGGGAUGUUCGUUUUCACAAGAAUGGAUCUGUGAGAAAUAGUCUUCUCAUAGUUACUUUCUCUGCACUGCUGAUUAAUGAACUCUCUACUGUAUGUUAAUGAUGGUCUGAAGACUGGUGGGAUUUGAUAGAAUGGUACUCUGAACUACAGGUAGGAGAGAAACGAACACAUGCACACAUUCAGACACACACAACGAAAACACUGAUCCCUCUUGGGCCAAGAGCUGACACUGAUUUUUGAAGUCGCAGGUUUGGCUACCGCGUCACGUGACCAGGAGCAACAUGACUGACUAAUGUCUGCUGCACAAGCUGACACGCAAUCAGUAUUCAUACUGUGUGUCAAACAAUGUGUAUAAAUAGGGGUAUAACAUCUGGAAUCUACAAGGACAAGACACCUCUCUCACACCUCUACAUUUUAAAGGUCUACUCCUAAACUUGAAGAAAAAAAACUGGUGUAAAAUAGACGUUGUGCCUUUUAAGACAGAGUGAAUGUUACUGUUUACAUUGAACUCAUAUUUUGUUAACUUCCUCUCCGUGGAGGCAGCACCAGAAUGAAGGGUUGGAUCAUAAAUAAUCAUCAGUUAUCAAAACAGUGUCUAAGGUUUUGUUACUAAACUAACUGGGACAAAUCAUUGACUACAGUAGGACAGGUUGCAAUGGCCGCCAGUGCAACAAACAAGUCACGACCCCUGGUGACCUUUAAUACAGGUAGUGAUUAGAUUCAACUGUUUUGAAAAGUAGAUAUUAUUUAGCAAGUGAAUCUAGUUGUUUAAUGGUUGUAUUAUAUUUCAAGAGAGGAGAGAGAGAAUCCCAAAUGAUACCCUAUCCCUUUGUAGUGCAUUCCUUUUGGUGAGUAGUGCACUAUAAAGGGAAUGGGGUGUCAUUUGGGAUUCUCCCACAGCCAGAGAGUUAGGCAGAAUACAGCUUACUCACGACUCCACCGUGGCCAAAUGGAGGCCUGUUGAGACUCUUCAGUUGGCCAUCCCAAGAGCUCGGUGACAAAAUCACGACAAACGAAAACAAAAAGGCUAUCCAAACCAAACCAACCUGGUUGGGAGGCUACUUUCAUAUAGCUUCUCUGAUCAGUGAUCACCUGUCAAUCAUCCACACCUGAGAGCAACAGGGUUGGGGUCAAUUCCAUUUCAAAAAGGAAACACCACGUGUACGUUUAACCAUUUAUUAGAAAAGAUUACAUUGCAUAGUUCAUACAAAUAUUUACACAUGUUAAGUUUGCUGAAAAUUACCGCAGUUGACAGUGAGAGGACGUUUCUUUUUUUGCUGAGUUUAUGAGCAGUUUGGGUGCGACCGCAGCAUGUGAUCUCCUGUGUUUACAAUCGGCARGCAUUUAGCUAUGUGGGAAUUGCAGGGAGGAACAGAGAAUGGUGGCGAUAUCAGCUCUCUUCAUCUGCACAGAUGAGCUAAAUUACUUUUUACAACUGUUCCUCUGCCCUGUUUCUGCACAUCUGUUAACUGUCACAUAGAUAAGAGGAUGUCCUUUCUACAAUAGGAGAGAGCCAACUCUGUUCGUUGGGCUUUCCAACUCUGAACUAUUUCAGUGAUUGUUGAUUGCUCCAUGUUUUUGUAAAUCUUAUAAUAAAGUUGCUGUUAGAA